AUGCAAGGUGUUCACUCCUUCAUUCUCCCUGACUGUAAGUAUGCUAUGAUCUUUAAAGCUUUCUGUAUUCUAUAUCAUAUAGAAUAUACUUAUAGCUCAUUUGCAGACAUUCAAUAAGUGGCUUGGACUCCUGGCAGUGAAAUAUGUCCCUCUAGAAACUGGUAAUCAUUCCUGGAGUAUUGGAGUGUGUAAGUGAGGCUUUAUGGAAUAAGUUUAAUUUUGCAAAGUAAUUG